AUAGGUAACCUAACAAGCCUGAUAACUUUGGAUCUGUACCAAAAUCAAUUUUCUGGGGUCAUUCCAGCAUCACUUGGAUACUUGCCUUCCUCGAGGUUUUUGAGAUUGAACAGUAACAAGCUUAUUGGCAAGAUACCAGUAGAGGUCCUCGAACUCGUUACCUAGGGAAAUUUGAGGAUUCUGAAUGUAUCAGACAACCUGCUGGUCGGGAGAGCCCACGGCACAAACACAACAGGAUUUGCAUAUACUUCUACAAUACAAGAUCCAAAAGCUCAGAAGUAAAAUUAGGACGAUAUGGCGACUACAGUACUGCCUGCUUGCAACCAUCCAGCUUUUAAAUAAAUUAGUAAUUUUGCUGGCAAUAAUAAAACUCUACGUUACUCUAUAUACAUGUUUUCCUGUUAUUUAUGUUAGUGUAUAUAUACAGAGAAAUGCUUGUUAAUUCUACUAAAAUACUGAACUUGGCAUGGGGCUAAUCUUUCCUUUUAUCUUCGACUUUGGGUGGGUGAAAAAGUAGCCCAGGCCCAAAUCUUAUGGACUGGACUU